rnacentral:rRNA from 1 species
GAUGAACGCUAGCUACAGGCUUAACACAUGCGAGUCGAGGGGCAGCAUGGUCUUAGCUUGCUAAGGCUGAUGGCGACCGGCGCACGGGUGAGUAACACGUAUCCAACCUGCCGUCUACUCUUGGCCAGCCUUCUGAAAGGAAGAUUAAUCCAGGAUGGGAUCAUGAGUUCACAUGUCCGCAUGAUUAAAGGUAUUUUCCGGUAGACGAUGGGGAUGCGUUCCAUUAGAUAGUGGGCGGGGUAACGGCCCACCUAGUCAACGAUGGAUAGGGGUGCUUAGAGGAAGGUCCCCCACAUUGGAACUGAGACACGGUCCAAACUCCUACGGGAGGCAGCAGUGAGGAAUAUUGGUCAAUGGGCGAUGGCCCGAACCAGCCAAGUAGCGUGAAGGAUGACUGCCCUAUGGGUUGUAAACUUCUUUUAUAAAGGAAUAAGGUCGGGUAUGCAUACCCGUUUGCAUGUACUUUAUGAAUAAGGAUCGGCUAACUCCGUGCCAGCCGCCGCCGUAA